AACACGUCAUCCCUCUGUAUAUAAAGACGACGACACGUCUUUUCUUCCUCUCAUAUAAAAAUGCAGCUGAAAUAUGUCAGAUUCAGGAGCCGCCAUCUUGGGCUGGUGAUGUCAUGUGGUGUCGAGGCUGAGAGGUUCAGGGUGUCACUGUUUGUGUCUCUUCACAUUGUGUCUCAGCUCGAACGUCCGAACUGUCGACGCUUCAGUCAAGACUGAACGUCAGCGAGACGUCGCUGGAGCAGCUGAAGAAGAACUCAGGUGAGGUCACCGUGAGGUCACCGUGAGGUCAUCUGCUGAAAGAGUCAAACUGCAAAGGAAAAAUUAACAGAUGAAUAUUUCAUGUCAUCAGGCCUGGCGUCAGAGCUGCCGUUCCUGCAGACGAGGCUGAGGGCAAACGAGCGCACGGUGGAGCAGCUGAGGAGGAGGAACGCAGUUCUGUCAGCGAGACUCUGCAGCACCGAGAGUCUGGUGGAGGAGCUGAGGAGGCAGAUCUCAGGUUUUCCGGCCUCCAACAGUUCGUCUGCAGCGUCGGAGCGUCGAGGGAACACGACUUCUGAAGGUCGUAAUGAUGAUGAUGAUGAUGAUGAUGAUAUCAGAUCAGCUGUUAACGAGUGGAUGUGUUGUUUCAUCAGCUCAACAGACUCGACAGAACUCGUCUGCUGA
rnacentral:lncRNA from 1 species